GACGAACGCUGGCGGCGUGCCUAAUACAUGCAAGUCGAGCGGACGGAUGGGAGCUUGCUCCCAGACCGUCAGCGGCGGCCGGGUGAGUAACCCGUGGGCAACCUGCCUGUAAGACUGGGAUAACUCCGGGAAACCGGGGCUAAUACCGGAUAACUCUUUCCCUCACAUGAGGGAAAGCUGAAAGAUGGCAUCUCGCUAUCACUUACAGAUGGUCCCGCGGCGCAUUAGCUAGUUGGUGAGGUAACGGCUCACCAAGGCGACGAUGCGUAGCCGACCUGCGAGGGGGAUAGGCCACACGGGAACUGAACCACGCACAAUACGACUACGGGAGGCAGCAGUAGGGAAUGUGACGCAAUGGAGGAAAGUCUGACGGAGCAACGCCGCGUGAGUGAUGAAGGUUUUGGGAGCGUAAAACUCGGUUGUCAGGGAUAAACAAGUACCGGAGUAACUGCCGGUAGCUUGACGGUACCUGACCAGAAAGCCACGGCUAACUACGUG
rnacentral:rRNA from 1 species